rnacentral:rRNA from 1 species
AUCAACGCUGGCGGCCGUGCCUAACACAUGCAAGUCGAACGAGGAAAGUGGAGCAAUCCAUGAGUAAAGUGGCGGCACGGGUGAGUAACACGUGACUAACCUACCCAGGAGUGGGGAAUAACUGAGGGAAACCUUAGCUAAUACCGCAUAAUCACCCUACGGGUUCAAAGGAGCAAUUCGCUUCUGGAGGGGGUCGCGCGGACCGAUUAGUUAGUUGGCGGGGGUAAUGGCCCACCAAGACGAUGAUCGGUAUCGCGGCCUCUGAGAGGGCGCACGGACACACUGGAGACUGAAACAGCGGUCCAGACUCCUACGGGAAGGCAGGCAGUGGGGAAUUUUGCGCAAUGGGGGAUAACCCUGACGCAGCAACGCCGCGUGGAGGAUGAAGUCCUUCGGGACCGUAAACUCCUUUCGAUCGGGACGAUAAUGACUGGUACCGAGAGAAGAAGCCCCGGCUAACUUCGUGCCAGCAGCCGCGGGUAAUACGAGGGGGGCGAGCGUUGUUCGGAAUUAUUGGGCUGAGCGGUAAAGGGUGCGUAGGCCGGUUUGGUAAGUCUGAUGUGAAAUCUAUGGGCCUCAUAACUCAUAGUCUGCGCAUCGGAAACUGCCGGGCCUGGCUGAGUAUGGGAGAGGUGAGUGGAAUUCCUGGUGCUGUGUAGCGGUGAAAUGCGUAGAUAUCAGGAGGAACACCUGUGGCGAAAGCGGCUCACUGGACCAUAACUGACGCUGAUGCACGAAAGCUAGGGGAGCAAAACAGAUUAGAUACGCCUGGUAGUCCUAGCCCUAAACGAUGACUGCUUGGUGCUGACGGGUACCCAAUCCCGGCCGUGCCGUAGCUAAGCGCUUUAAGCAGUCCGCCUGCGGGGAGUACGGUCGCAAGGCUGAAACUCAAAGGGAAUUGACGGGGGGCCGCGCACAAGCGGUGGAGAGGCAUGUGGUUAUAAUUCGAACGCAACGGCGAAGAACCUUACCUGGGCUCGAAAUGUAGCAGGAAUCCGCGUAGAAAUAUCGGCGUCCCGCAAGGGACCUGUAUAUAGGUGGCUGCAUGGCUGUCGUCAGCUCGUGUCGUGAGAUGUUGGCGUUAAGUCCCGCAACGAGCGCCAACCCUUACUUCCAGUUGCCAUCAUUUAGUUGGGGCACUCUGGCAGAACCGCCUCGGAUAACGGGGAGGAAGGUGGGGAUGACGUCAAGUCCCCAUGGCCUUUAUGUCCAGGGCCUAGCACACGUGCUACAAUGGUCGGUAGCAAACCGCGUCGCAAACCCCGUGAGGGGGAGGGCUAAUCGGAAAAAGCCGACCUCAGUUCGGAUUGGAGUCUGCAACUCGACUCCAUGAAGCUGGAAUCGCUAGUAAUCGCGGAUCAGAACGCCGCGGUGAAUACGUUCCCGGGCCUUGUACACACCGCCCGUCACAUCACGAAAGUGGGUUGCACUAGAAGCCGGUGAGCUAACUCGCAAGAGAGGCAGCCGUCGUCCAAGGUGGGAUUGGUGAUUGGGACG